GGCCGACUAGCUCAGUUGGUUAGAGCGUCGUGCUAAUACCACAUGGGUUUACGCGAAGGUCUUGGGUUCGAUCCCCACGUUGGCCA